UAGAAAAUGAUGAUGAAAAGUAAUGCAUAGUUCAACUGAAUUAGUAUGAAGAUAAAAACAACCAUCGAAAUUAGUCUUUCACCCCUAUCUGAUUUAUA
rnacentral:snoRNA from 1 species